rnacentral:rRNA from 1 species
AGAGUUUGAUCAUGGCUCAGGACGAACGCUGGCGGCGUGCUUAACACAUGCAAGUCGAGCGGAAAGGCCCUUCGGGGUACUCGAGCGGCGAACGGGUGAGUAACACGUGAGUAAUCUGCCCCUAGCUCUGGGAUAGCUCCGGGAAACCGGGAUUAAUACCGGAUACGACCACCUUAGACAUCUUUUGUGGUGGAAAGAAUUUCGGCUAGGGAUGAGCUCGCGGCCUAUCAGCUUGUUGGUGGGGUAACGGCCUACCAAGGCGACGACGGGUAGCCGGCCUGAGAGGGCGACCGGCCACACUGGGACUGAGACACGGCCCAGACUCCUACGGGAGGCAGCAGUGGGGAAUAUUGCGCAAUGGGCGAAAGCCUGACGCAGCGACGCCGCGUGGGGGAUGAAGGCCUUCGGGUUGUAAACCCCUUUCAGCAGGGACGAAGCGAAAGUGACGGUACCUGCAGAAGAAGCGCCGGCUAACUACGUGCCAGCAGCCGCGGUA